rnacentral:lncRNA from 1 species
AGUUUAACCCCUGCAGCUACGCCUUCAUUGCAGAGCAAGGCCGGUUCAAUUUCAGCUCUUCUAGUUUUGAACAACUGAAUGGCAUUGAACGGCUUCCAAUGGUUCUUAAUUGGGCCAUUGUGAAUGACGCAGAUCCCUGCGAUGAGACUCAGAACAGGAAGGGUUCCGCAUGCAAGGCUAAUAGCAAGUGCUUCAACCCAGCUAUCAAUGAGUCUGUAGGUUACUUGUGCCAGUGCUUGCCUGGUUAUGAAGGAAACCCGUACCACCCAGAUGGUUGCACAGGUGACGAUUAUCUUUGAUUUACCUAUUCAGCUACUAUUAUAUCAAUAUAAAUUAAUUAAAGCUCUCGCCAUUGGAAGUGCAAGUUUACCAAAUUUAGUGAUGUCUGAUAGGCUUUUCCUUUCCUAAUUUCCCUUUCAGAUAUUGAUGAGUGCAAAGACCCAAACCUCUGCCAGAAAGGACAAUGCUUGAAUCUUCUACCUCCACAAAAUUACACUUGUUCAUCAUGUCACAAAGGAUACAAACACGACGGCACCAAUGACAAGAGUUGCAUCAAAGACGAUCUCGAAAGAAGCUCAAAGAUCGUUCUCCUGCUUAUUGUUUCAUUGGGUAUGUAUAUUUACAUAUUAUCAUGCAUGUGCACCCUAAACUUCUGUUGAAAAGUAAUGACGGACUGAAAUCUAUUUAGCUUCAGGCCUUCAGCUACGUACUUUAUCUCCAAAUUAUAAUAACCUCGUUUUCUCAUACUUUUUCUUCAAAAAAAAGUAACACAGAGAGAAUGCACAAGUCAUUUCCAUAUUUAAGGGAAGUUUUUUUUCUAUUGUUUGUUAAACGAGAGGGAACAGGUGCGCAAAUUGAAGAUUUUUUUUCUUUUUAUUCAUUUUUGUAGAGAAGGUCUUGCAUCUAGAAUCAAAAUCAAGGAAACUGCUACAAUGAGUUAAGGGGAAGAUCCUAGGGAAUCAGAACUAGAAUAAAAGGACAACAUAAUAGCACAGAAAAAAAAACCACCACCCUGUACCUCUGAAUAAGAUCAUAGAGAAUAUGCAAAAGCAAACUUAUAAGAAUAAAUUUGAUGAUGAAUUUUCAACUAUUUGUAGGUGUAAGUAUGGGCUUGUUGGUUUUUUUCCUUGGGAUUUCGUGGAUAUGUUGGGGAAUGAAGAAAAGAGAGUUCAUUAAGCAGAAGGAAAAGUACUUCAAAGAGAAUGGUGGCUUAUUGUUACUGCAACAACUCGCCAGUGAUAAUGGAAGCUCGAUGAAGACAACAAAAAUCUUUACCGCUGAUGAACUUGAGAGGGCAACAAACAACUACCAUGAGAGUAGAAUCCUUGGAGAAGGAGGUAAUGGAACAGUUUACAAAGGAAUACUACCGGAUGACACAGUGGUUGCCAUAAAGAAGUCGAAAGGUACUAGUGCCAUGACCCAGAGUGAUCAAUUUGUUAACGAAGUGAUUAUCCUUUCUCAAAUUAACCACAUAAAUGUGGUGAAGCUAUUAGGUUGCUGUUUCGAAACAGAAGUUCCUUUACUAGUAUACGAAUUCAUUACCCAUGGCACUCUUUAUGAGCACAUUCAUAAAAGAAGAUCACCUCUCCCUUUUGAAUUACGAAUGAAGAUAGCAACUCAAAGCGCAGAAGCAUUGUCUCACUUACACUCGUCAAUUUCCACACCAAUCAUACAUCGAGAUGUGAAAACGGCAAAUAUUCUGUUAGCUAAUGAUUACACGGCGAAAGUGUCAGAUUUCGGAGCUUCCCGUUUGGUUCAUUCAGGAACUGAUAUGCAAACUUUGGUGCUCGGGACAUUUGGAUACCUAGACCCUGAAUAUCUGCAAUCAAACCAGCUAACAGAAAAGAGUGACGUUUACAGCUUUGGAGUUGUCCUAGUGGAACUAAUAACAAGCAAAGUUCCACUUUCUAAAGAUAGAUGCUUAGCAAGCAUCUUUGUGGUUUCCAUGGAAGAAGAUUGGUUGGAUCAAAUUCUUGACGAUGAUAUAGUGAACGAUGGAAACAUUGAGACGGUAAAGAAAGUGGCCCAUCUCGCAAAGCGAUGCUUGAUGGUAAAAGGGGAGGAAAGGCCUACCAUGAAAGAAGUUGCGAAAGAGCUCGAGGAAAUAAUGAGUGUCACAGCAAAACAUCCGUGGGGAUUUAAUGCUAGUUUCUACCGAGAAGAGACUGAGUACUUGCUCGGGUCACUCAAUUCAGACGGUUACGUCGUUGGUGUUGGGGAUGAUUGCAGUUCUAGUGGUCUAACCAGUGGUACGGCCAAUGCAUAUGACAGCAUGCAAAAACAACUGCAGUUGAUGCCAUAUGGCGGUGGACGUUAGUUGGAUCGGUGUCGCUUGUAUGUAUUUUAGUAUGGUUGUUUCUGUCAGAUAAGUGCGUUUUCACAUUUUGCAAUUGUUGUAUGUAAGUAAUCAAGUGUGGUCUUACAGUCUUACUGGUGUUCUUUUGCUGCUAUUGUGCACACUUAGCAAGCAACUGGAUUUGCCUUAUCUAUGAGGUUAAGGCCUUUGCCUUUCACACGUCUACUAGUUGAGGAGACAUGUAUAUUACAUAAUAUGCAAACUAGGUAGAUAUGUAUUACACUAGUUGAAUUUGCAUGCCGUCACUAGUUUUCGCUUGGAACAUUUCCACCAGUCAUGUCAUAUUCAUAUAUACAAACCACUAAGGAUAGUGGGGUGGAAAACUCUGUCUUGGCUAACCUCCAGGUCUGGAGUUCGAAUCCCCAUGAAAGCAAAGUGGCUAGGCACUAUGCUGCAAUGCAUAGUUGGAGCAUUUCACAUGCGCCGGCGGAUUAGUCCUUAGGCCUACGAAGUCUUUGGGAUACCGUGACUUGAUCAAAAAAAAAAAAAUAUUCAUAUAUACUGCAAAUUUGAAAAUUUCCACCAGACAAAUCGUAUUGCAAAAAGAAAUUGUUUAAUUCCAUUUAGAUUACUUGGCACCUUGACGACUUCAUCUUCAAAAACUUCUAGUCUCCUACCUCAACUUGUCACCGUGGUCAUCAACUGUAACGGAAAACGAACUGUCACAUUGACAUAGCAUAGAAUAUUUAGUUAGUUGCAUAAAAUUAUCAAUGAAAAUGGAAGUUGUGCCCCGUCAGUUAAUUUAGAGUGAUGUGGUGAAAAGAAUUCAAAAGCCAACUCUAGACCAAAAAUAAACUUUUACCACCUGAUCAGUAAACAAAUCACGUAUAGGCAGAAGGGUCCUGGCUUGGCAAAGGAGGCACAUCAAGCUUUCGUUUUCUUGAAACCGAUUGAUCUCAUAACUUGUGCUUGACUUUGAUAUAACAUCUCUUCUAUAUUAACUGCUUGCAUCUAAACUAAAAGAUACCAACUUUUUGGGCUUACCAAGUGGCUUCGGGAAAUAAGAGAGACGACCAAGACAUUUUGAUUCGCUCACAACCUCUUCCAUUUGUCUACAAAAGCGAGCUUGCAAGCACAACUUCACUCAUAAGAAAUACAGUUUAUACAUUUAUACCUCUCAAUUUAAGUACCUGAAUCAAUUGGUGAAAGUAGAUUACCAAGUAUGCAAUUCAUACUGCUGGUGCUACUGGUUCUCCUCGCAUUUGCGGCCGCGGGCAAAGAAGCAGAAACAGCUGAAGCCCGCCCGCCUCAAGCCCUUCCUGGCUGCACUGACCACUGCGGCAAUCUCACCAUUCCAUAUCCCUUUGGCAUAGAGCCUGAUUGUUACAAGACAGAAGACUUUUAUGUCUAUUGUAACACAACCACUACACCCCCAACAGCAAUGUGGAACGAUGGUCCCAUUGCUAUUAACAACAUAUACCUGCCUGCGGGUGAGAUGCAAAUAACGCAGUACGUAGCCUAUGAGUGCUAUAACAGCCUGGGCGAGAAUGAUUACAACCAACCAUUGCUUGCCGUGCCUCCUUUCACCGUCUCUCAUACUAGAAACAAGUUCAUUGCCGUUGGUUGCGACACUUCUGCAGCUUUCAGAGGUUACCGUGCAGACGAACAGAGGUUAAUGACCGGAUGCAUGUCCAUAUGUGACAACCUUGACCGCAUUGAACAGUCUUGCUCCGGGGUUGGGUGUUGCCAAACUGACAUCCCCAGCGGACUUGAGAAUUACACUCUCACACUGGAAAGCUAUUAUAAUCACACAUACAUACUGGACUUCAAUCCAUGCAGCUAUGCCUUCAUUGUGGAAGAAGGCAAGUUCACCUAUUCCCCCGAAUACAAGUUUCCAAACACUACCCAACACCAAAGAGCUUCCCCUGAUUCUUGAUUGGGAAAUUGGGGAAGGCGCAUGUGAUGAAGCUGAACACAGAGAUGAUUAUGCAUGCAAGGCAAAUAGCAAGUGUGUCAAUCGGACCAUCAGUGAUGGGCUAUUCUAUAUAAUAAAACGAUAAGGAAAAAACCACUGUUCAUAUCUAUUCAGAAUUGUGCUAUUCCCCUGAAGUUUCGUGAAUUAUGUUUUGGCCCUAGAUUUGUUACUGAUUGCAAAACUGUCCUCACUGUGUUGCGUGUUAUUGUUGCUGCGUGGCCUCCUAUUUUCAUUCCACGAAGCUCUCUCGCUCUCUCCGAUCUCUCUGUCUCACGCAUGACGGCGGAAACGAAGAAAAAGGCCGACCGAUCCCGAUCAAAUCCGAGCCAGGGUGAAAGAACAUCGAUCUGGGUAAUUGGGUUUCAGUUUCGUUUUUUUUUUUUUUUUCUAAGAUUCUUCCAAUUGAUUUUUGUAUUAUUUCGAUCAAACCCGAGCCAAGGUGAAAAAAAAGGAUCUGGCCAUAUGUGUUUGGUUUUUGUAUGAUUGUUGUUUUGAAUCAAUAGGUAUUUCUUUUAUCUCAGAUUCUUCAAUGCAUGGAUGCUGUUGAUAUUUCCUGUGAUGCCUUCCUUGAGCCUUUCUUCCUCAAAAACAUUUGCACCGCCGACUGCUACGAGAAGUGCUCUAGAUAAAGGAUUUCGGGACGAUUUCGGGUUGAGGUAUUUGAGCUUCUUCCUUCUGCUUCGUUCGGUUUCCAUUUGUGUUUUUCAUUGUUGAUUUCAUAUUCCGCUUGCAGUUCAUGCUUCAUAGAAUUUACUAUGCUUCAUAGAAUGUAACAUCAAAUAUUUGGUGUGGUAUGUACCAAAAUAUGUAUGAAAAAAUGUAACAUCAAAUAUAUAUGCUCUAGCUGUAUGAUGUAUGAUAGAAUGUAACAUCAAAUAUUUUGUGUAGUAUAUACCACAGCUUCUAUGUUCUGUAAUGUGUAUUCUCUCUGUUUUUCAUUCUUAUCAUAUAGACAAUAUUAUCUGUUCGCUAAUCUAACCAACACGUAUCAGCAGCUCACGCCCACAUGUGACAACAUCAACUUCACAUAGCUGUAUAACCACAUGUCGACAUUAGCUCACAACAGCUUCUUUCAAUUAUCACCUAAGAACAUGACAAUACUUUGCCGUGUGAUCUUCCAUUUAUUUACCAUCACCUUCACCCACGUCUAUAUAAACCUGGAGACAAAUGAACCUGCAUAAUGAAGUGCUCUCCAUUUCUCUUCAUAUUUCUCCGAACAUUUUACACUACUAUAAAGAAAAAUAAUCUUUGUAACAUAUGCCUGGAGAUCAAUCAUUUGAACGAUUUUUUUUUCGCUGAUCUGUACUUAACGCAUCCUUGAAAAACUAAUUCUUCAAGUGGUUGUAUUUCCGGGCGACUGUUACCGUGGUAAUGUCUGCAGCCAUACAACCCAUGUAUGUCGAUCCAUGCAACACAAAUUCUACAGGACAAAUCAGGAAAAGCCUUCCUGAACAACCAUAUAAACAUUUCCUUUUUCUUUCUUUUUUCCUUUUUUUUUUGUACGACAAAUCGACAAUAUGAUCUGCAAACCUAGACAUGAAUUAGUUUGAUAGCAGUAAUUUCAACUCAAAUUCAGUUUUUAAUUAAUGGAAUGUUUAAUAUUCUGUUUGCAUUUACAUAUCAGACAACUGUAUUGGGAUGGAUUAAGCUUAGGAUUGAAGAGUUGGUUUAUAACUUCGCAAUAGCUUUAUUUGUUAAUGUCCUGAUAUUGAUGCACAAACAUAUAAUUGGUCGAAGUUUCAACAUCUGUUGCUAUACAUGGUUAAUGUAAUUGUCAGAUUUGUACAUAGGCUUCUCUUUUUACCUUUUUUUAUACUCUGUUGUGGUUUCUAAUGGGAAGUUUGAGACCGCUUUUCUAAUUUUGGUUUGUCUUGCAUGUUGGUUAUGCAUGAGAUUGAUUGUGGCUAUUUUGUGAAGGUUUUGUGAUAGAUUCCAGAUUUUGGCUUUGAAAUUGUAUGCGUAGCUCCAAUUCUUAGACUAUAUUUCAUACUACUAUAUUAGAAAUAUUUGAAAGAGAAGAAUCAAAUUAGUGUUUGAGGAAUCAAUAAUAAGGAGCCAAAGGGUGCCGACCAAAAACUGGGUUAGAUAUUUACUUAUCUAUAUUUUACUUGCAUGUUAAUGAUUUGGUUUAUAUUGAAUGCUGCCAAUGUAUUAGUAUUUUGGUAUUGCGUAGUUAUUAAUUGUAUAGGAUUGCAGUUUACUACAAUGAAAACAAGGUGUGCCUGUCUAUUUGGUUAUUGUGUCUGUUUUAAGAUUUUAAUGUUUAUAGCAUUUUGAAAUAUAUUAUGUAUUUCAAUUUUAAUUUUUGAAAUUAGCUACGUUUUUUGGGUUAUUUCUUUUAAAUUUUGUUGAGCAUAUGAUUUUUGUUACAAUGGUGAUAGUUGCAGUCCUUUGAUUAUAAUUUAAGUUGAGUUGCUGCUAUCCUACCGUUACGGAAUCAGGGCCGUUGAGCUUUGUUACAAAUUAAUGAAAACAUCAGUAUCAAUUGUUUGAUUGGGGUUGAUAAUUUUUGUUCUGUUUUCAGUGUUGGUUCUUUCACUAUCUGCAAUCAAUCUCAUUCUCUCAAGUGCUUAUCGGUUCCUUUGGUUGGAUUAGCUGUUUAAGUUUUUUGGUUUGGUUUGCAUUUUGGUAAUCUUUUAGGUUUAAUCAAAUUGGGUGUCUGACUGUUUUGCAGACGUUUCUUUCUGUUUUUCCGGUGGUGAUCCCCAGUGUCAGGACAGGUAUUUACUUUAUCUUUUUUUUUACUUGCAAGUUAAUGGUUUGGUUUGUAUUGGAAAAGCUUUCAAUGUAUUAAUAUUUUUGGUUUUGGUGAGGUUUGUGGUGAGUACUUUUUAAUUUCGUAUUAUUUGAUGUGCCUAGCUGAAUGGUUAUGGGUGUGUCUGUUUUAGGAAUAUUGAUGUUUAGACAAGAUUUUAAUAUCUAUCACAUAUUUUAAUUUACACUUUGGAUGUCAUCUGGUCAUGCAUUUUGUUUUGGUGUUGUUUUAAUUACAUUUGGUAUCGCAAUUGACCAUACAAUGACAAAUUUUGCAUAAUGGUACAGGGAAAAAAGACAGAUAUUUUUUAUCUGUGUAUCAUACUUGAGUUUAAACAACAAACAAUGCAAAGGUAUAAUUGCAGUUGUCCACAUAAUAUAAAUUCUUCCAAAAUGGUGUAAAAAUGAGGAUGAAUGUUUGUUACGUAAUUUUAAAUAACAAACAAUGCAAAGGUUUACUGCAUCAAAAACUGAAGUUAAAUAGAUUGGCCAAUAAAGUAGAUGGAAUCUGACACCGGUCCAAUAUCUAAGACAUGUUUAUAAAUCGAUGUUACUGCAAGUGGAUUUUAGUUUGGAACUUUUUAUGUGUAUUACAAUAGUUUUUUUUUUGGGUUACCCAGCAGAACAAAGUAUUUGAUUGAGUGAGAGAUUGCGUAUGUUUGUUUUUAAAUUGACAGCUUCUAUAAUAUUCGCUUCUGGAUAUUCAGGGCCAAAAAAAAAUUAUAAUCAUGAUGAUAUUAAUAUAAUUUGGUACAUUGAAGUGUUAAAAAAAACCUGCUAUUGAUUUAGUGCAUUGGUUUGAUUUGGUGUGGGGAUACAAAUUCAUCUUGCAGCCUACUAGAUUUCAGGCAUUUGAGUUGUUUUGGUAGUUACAAUGGCAUCGCUUAAAAUAUAAUUUGGUAAAAGAAUGCAUGUUUUAACAUGGUGCUGUUAAUGUUAGUUCAGAUUGUUAUUCAGACAAGUGGUGAUGUGUGCUAUUAUUGGGCUCAUUGAUUUGAGAUUGUUUGAUGAUAUUGCCAUUUCAAUUCAGAUUGCGUUGAAUCUAGCUAUAAGUUCUUUGUUUAUUCUUUUUUUAAAUACUUUUUGGACAGUUGUUAAUCCAAUUUUUACUGUUCUGUAUUGUUGCCAUUGAUUUUUAUGAACUGUUAUUAUUUUAUUGAUGCAUUGUUAUUCAUGUGAAUAUUUGUUGGCACUACAGGUUAAGAGAAAACUUAAGGCUUUAUUACAAAAGUAAGGAUAAUUAUUUUGAUGGUUUGCUGUUAUGUCAUCAGACAUGUUUGUUGUACUUUACAUUUUGUGCGUUGCUUGAAUACUUAUUGUUCUAUUAUUUGGUGAUAUUGGAAAGUAAGAUGACUCGAAAGAAAAGAAUUCGGGAGGAAAAUUUGUCAGCUGCAUCGUCUGAACAACUUGGGUGCAGUGGUCCCUCCAUGAAUGCUUCUGUUAACAGUAGACCGGGUGGUGCCAAUGCAUCAAAUGAUUGUGCUGAGUCUUCGUCUACAAGAGGAAUCGAUGCUCUGAGUGUUGGACAAUCUAAUAUUGGGCAGGCGUUUUAUUAGAGAAGAAGAAAAACAAAAGGUUUGUGUUUGGGGUGCUUUGUUUAUUUAUGUGGUUAUCUGAAUUGAAUUUGUAUGACUUCUGUUUAAGAUGGUGUGCUGUUUUGUUUCUAGGUAUAUCGUCUGCAUAUGUAGAUGUCGGAGAUAUGACAAACGUUUGUGUUGAUUGUCAUGCAUUGUUUUGGUUGCAAGAGUCAAAAUUUAUUCCAAGGAAUGGAAGUCCGGUCUAUACAGGCUGCUGCCAGGAAGGUCGGAUUAGGCUCCCGCCUGUUAGACCUGCUCCAGUUUUUUUAGAAUACUUGCUUGAUUCCACUAAUGGUCAAAAGAGUGUGCAGUUUAGAAACAAUAUUCGGAGUUAUAAUACCAUGUUUGCAUUUACUUCAAUGGGAGCUAAUGUAGAUAAGACGGUGACUGAUGGUCAUGGUCCUUAUGUUUUUAAAAUUAGUGGACAGGUAUACCAUCUUAUGGGUUCACUUAUUCCUCCAGAAGGUAAGUGCCCUAAGUUUGCACAAUUGUACAUUUAUGAUACUGAGAAUGAAGUUGCAAAUCGACAAAAAGCUGUUGACGGUUUAGACUCGGAAAUUGUUACUAGAUUGAUUGAUAUGCUUGAUGAAAGCAAUGAAUUGGUUCAGUAUUUUCGUUCUGUUCGAAAUAAGUAUAAUGAAAGAUCUCUGCGUUGUUUAAACUUGACACUUCUUGACAAUGAAAGAAUAAAAGAUAGGGAAUACGAUGUGCCAAGUAGUAGUGAAGUUGCUGGCUUGAUUGUUGGUGACAUUGGGUUGUAUGAAGCUGAUAGGGAUGUAGUUGUCGAUACAUUUGAAAAUGGUUUGCAGCGGAUAUCAAGAUUACAUCCAAAAUUCAUGUCAUUUCAAUACCCAUUACUCUUCCCUUAUGGGGAGGAUGGAUAUCAUGUUGGUUUGAAAUUAUGCGCACGCAAAGAUAAUGAGAAUCGCAAGCGAGAAAGGAUGUCCAUGUGUGAUUUUAUGUCAUACCAAAUACAUGAGCGUGCAAAUGAAUCUUCCACUUUGCUGAAAGGAGGCCGACUUUUUCAACAGUUUUUGGUUGAUGCCUAUGCAAAUGUUGAAGAAAACCGUUUGUUUUAUAUUAGAAAAAAUCAACCCGAUAUUAGGAGCGAGACUUAUGUGGGCAUAUGUGAUGCUUCAAUAAGAGAACAUGAUGGUGAAAAUGUAGGCAAACGAAUUAUUUUACCAAGCACUCAUACAGGAAGUCCGCGGUAUAUGAACAAACAUUACCAUGAUGCUAUGGCUUUGUGUCGGAAGUAUGGCCCCCCUGAUUUGUUCAUAACACUUACUUGCAAUCCAAAAUGGCCUGAAAUUGAAAGAGCAUUGUUGAACAAACAUGGUAGCAAACCUGAGGAUCGCCCAGAUAUUGUUGCAAGAAUUUUUAAGAUGAAACAUGAUGAUCUUAUUAGUUACGUUAAAUCUGGCAAGCCAUUUGGGAAGGCUAUUGCAGGUAAGUACCUUUGUUUACAGCGUCCCCCCUUUCCCUUUUUCCGAUUUAAAACAUUAUGAUAUUUAAUUUUGAUGUUUUUAUUAAUCUCAUUGGUAUACAAUGUAAUAUGCAGAUGUUGCGACAAUUGAGUUCCAAAAACGGGGAUUACCUCACUCUCACAUGUUAUUUUGGUUGGCUGAGAAUAACAAGUGUUAUUCGGCUGUUGACAUUGAUUCAAUAAUCUUUGCUGAACUACCUGAUAAGAAGGUCAAUCCAACUUUAUAUGAUAUUGUGAAUCAAUUUAUGAUCCAUGGUCCAUGUGGUGUGCUGAAUCCUAAAGCUCCAUGUAUGAAAGAAAAUAACUGCAAGAAAUCAUUUCCGAAAGAAUACAUGGAAAACACAUUGUUUGCAGCUAAUGCAUUUCCCAUGUAUAUGCGUCGUGAUGAUGAUUCUAAAUUUGUCAUGAAAAAUAAUGUGACAGUAGACAACCGCUUUGUUGUUCCUUACAAUGCUGAACUUUUGUUAAGAUAUAAUGCGCAUAUAAAUGUUGAAUCAUGUUCUCAGUCAACCUUGAUAAAAUAUCUGUUCAAGUAUAUAAGCAAAGGUCCUGACCGAGCAAGAGUUGGUAUUCACUCUGAUUUAAAUGAUGAAAUUGCAGCGUAUUUAAACUGCAGAUAUAUAUCUCCACCUGAAGCUGCAUGGAGAUUGCUUGAAUAUCCAAUUCAUUCUCGGCACCCACCUGUUGAAUUGUUAAAGAUACAUUUACCAGGACAACAAACCAUUGUUUUUGGUCAAAAUCAACCGUUAACCUCAGUCAUUGCAAGACAAGGAUCAGACGAUACUAUGCUCACAUCAUGGUUUCAUGCAAAUACAAACGCGGAGACAAAGCAUAUAGCAAAUAUGUUGACAUUUGCAGAGUUUCCUUCUGCCUUUGAGUGGAAUAAUGGUACAAAAACUUGGACACCACGACAACGAGGCUAUGCAAUAGGUAGAUUGCCAAAUAUAAGUCCGACGAGCGGUGAGUUAUAUUAUUUGCGCCUACUUUUGAACACACGUAAAGGCUGCACAAAUUUUAAAUCUAUUCGGACAAUAUGUGGUGUUGUGUAUUCUACGUAUCAAGAAGCAUGCCGUGCACUCGGGUUACUAGGUGAUGAUAAAGAGUGGAGUGAUGCUAUAACUGAGGUUGUACCAACAGCAAUGUCAUAUCAAUUGCGCCAUCUAUUUGUUACAAUUUUGUUGUACUGUGAUGUUUCAAAUCCGUGUCAACUUUUUGAAACACAUUGGCGUAAUAUGUGUGAUGAUAUUAUAUACAAUGUCCGUUCUGAUUUUAUGAUGCCACACCUAAACAUAUCUGAACGAGAGUUACGAAAUUCUUUGUUGUUUGAGUUAGAGCUACUUUUUGGUAAUGCUAAUUCAUCGUUAGCGAAGUACCAUUUACCAUUGCCAGAUAAGGAAAAAAUGUUCGAGUUGAAAAACAGGCAAUUGAGAGAGGAAUUAAAUUAUGAUUGUGUCGCUUUACAAAAAGAGUACCGAUCUUUAGUAGCAGAAUUAAAUGAUAGCCAGAGAAGAAUAUUUGAGAAUGUGAUUAAUGUUGUUAAUAACAAAAGUACUGGCCUUUUUUUGUUUAUGGUCAUGGAGGCACAGGGAAAACAUUUUUAUGGCACACCAUUAUUAGUAAGCUAAGAUCGGAAGAGAAGAUUGUGUUAGCAGUCGCUUCCUCUGGAAUUGCGUCAUUGUUAUUACCAAACGGGAGAACUGCUCAUUCCAGAUUCAAGAUACCAAUUGACCUUACUGAUGGUAAGGUCUCUUCAAUAACAAAGGGAACACAUCUUGCUAAAUUGGUUGAAAAAACGGAUUUAAUUAUUUGGGAUGAAGCACCGAUGACUAAUAAGUGUUGUUUUGAAUCUUUAGACACUUCACUUAGGGACAUAUUAUCGUAUCGUUUUACACCGGGAACCGUCCCGCCAUUUGGUGGUAUGCCUAUUGUACUUGGUGGAGAUUUUAGGCAAAUAUUACCAGUUGUAAUUGAUGGGAAAAAGUCUACGGUAAUUGAUGCAUCAUUAAAUAGUUCUUUGUUGUGGCCAUUGUUUAAGAUCUUUUACUUGACAGAGAAUAUGAGACUGCGAAAAAAGGAAAUAAGUGAAGAGGAAAAACAACAAAUAUCAGAGUUUGCAGAAUGGUUGUUAAAUGUCGGUGAUGGAAAUAUAUGUGGCAUAGAUGAUGAUUGUGAUAGAGAUUCAAGCUGGAUAGAAAUACCGUCUAAUAUGUUAAUUGAUAACACAAGUGAUCCAAUUCGUUCUAUAUUUCAUGCUACAUACCCAGAUUUUCUCAAAAACUACAACUGUUUCGAUUAUAUUAGAGAACGUGCAAUUAUUACACCUAAAAAUGUUGAUGUGACUGGCAUAAACAAUUAUGCAAUAGAUUUACUGCCUGGUCAUACAGUAACCUAUUUAAGUUGUGAUUCUAUAUGCUUGACAAAUGAUAAUGCCGACAAUUUAAGCUCAUCAUAUCCACCAGAAUUGUUGAAUAGUAUUGAAAUCAGCGGAUUGCCAUCACAUAAAUUAGUUUUGAAAAAAGGAAUGCCUGUUAUGCUACUUAGAAAUUUAAACCAAACAAAUGGUUUGUGCAAUGGGACAAGAUUGAUUAUCACAAAUUUAUUUGACAAGAUUAUUGAAGCUAGGGUGUUAACUGGAACUCAUGUGAAUGAGAAAGUUUUUUUGCCAAGAAUUGUAAUGUCUUCUUCUAACCAGAAAUGGCCAUUUAUAUUGAGGAGGAGGCAAUUUCCGAUUAAAGCAUGUUAUGGAAUGACGAUAAAUAAAAGCCAGGGCCAAUCAUUAAAACAAGUUGGUUUAUAUUUGCCUCAGCCUGUUUUUAGUCAUGGACAAUUGUAUGUUGUUUUAUCUAGAGUAACCUCAAGAGAAGGAAUUAAAAUUAUGAUUUUAAACGAAGACAUACCAAAUACGUAUACAAAGAAUAUUGUGUAUAAAGAUGUGUUGAAAAAUUUACAGUCGCAUUCCGACUAAUAUUGUGUAAAAUGUCCAUACAUGAAACCCGGUUGAUGAUUACAAAUAUAUAUGUCAAUGUCAUUGAGGCACAAGUUUUGACCGGAACACAUGUUCAUAACAAAUUUUAUUUACCACGAACUGUACUGUCUGCAUCAAAACACAGAUGACCUUUUGUUUUAAAAAGAUGCCGAUUUCCAAUAACACUGUUAUGGAAUGGCAAUAAAUAGAAGUCAGAACCAAUCAUUAAAACAAGUUAAGUUAUACAUGUCGCAACUAUUUUUCACUCAUAGACAAUUGUAUAUAGCUCUCUCAAGAGUAACAUUGAGAAAAGGAAUUUACAAAAAAAAAAAAAAAAAAAGAAUAUACCAGAAAAAAAAUACUAAAAAAUAAUGAAAACAAAAAUGUUUUGCAAAGUUUGAGACCAACUCUAAAGCUCAUCAUCAACCGAUACCUCCACCAAUUAGUCCUUCUAUCUUCAGCAAAACAAUGAAUAAAAAUUUGCAGGCCAACAUCAACAAGCCAAAAACCAAACCUUCAGUAAAUAAAAAAAACGGAAGGCAAAGGUAAACAAGGGUAUAAUUGUCAAUUCUAAACAAGCCCUAUGUGUAUAUAACUAUACAGCUCUAUGUAGAAGCAGCCGACUCAGAUCUUUCACUUUCAGAUUUGGUUAUAUCUCUAACCUGCACAUCUAUUUUCUACUUAGCAGUGAUCCAACCUACAAAUCCAACCUACAAACUGAAGACAGGUAUUUUGUUUCUCUGUGCUUGCAUAAACGAUCAAAACUACACAGAUUGCUUUAUUCAAUUAUGCAUAUCUUAUUUGAUACUCUUAGAUAAAAAACAAAUUCAGUUGUUUUGGUUGACAUACUUUCAAAAGUGUAAAUCCUCUCUUCUAUGCAACCCAACAACCAUAAAAUGUCUCUUUUAAGUCUAAUCACAAUUUCAUUCUUAGUAUAUUACACUGUCGCUGUCGAUGAUUCCCAUCUUUUUUUUUCCCCCAAAACAGAUCUGCUUUUGCACCAUGUCGACUACCCGAAUUCGUGACAUUAGUCCUGGAACGGGUGGCAUGAAGAUAAAGGUUCGAGUAUCCCGAAUGUGGAGAGGAAAAGUUCUCAAGCCUGUCCAACGAUAUGAUGGCUUGGGAUGCGUGUUAGUCGACCAAUAUGUAAUUGUUAUAAUAGUUGAAUCAUUUUUAACAAGCACCGAUUCAAACAUUUCUGAUCAUUGUCUAUAUGUUAUAUAAUUAUGAAAGAUACUUAUUAUAUCUAUCAAUUGUUACACAUACAGGGUGACUCCAUCCAUGCCGUGGUCAUGGAAGCUGACAUUGAAGAUGUCUUAAGCAAUAUGGCGGAAGGUCCUGUCUAUGAAAUAAGCAAAUUUAGGAUCAUGAAAAAUCAAGAGUCUCAUCAAGUUGUGCCACAUACAGCACAGCUGCAGUUUAACAAUAAAACUGUGUUCAAACUGAUGCGUGAAGAAUUCCCGGCAAUACCCAUACACUGCUUCAACCUACUGGACUACAGCGAACUUCCUGCACGUAACAAAAAAGACACUAUAUUGACAGGUACAAAUUCACAAUCAAGGUGUUCACUAAAUUUAUAUAAUAUGUACAUAACGUUCACAUUUUAUUCUAAUAUUUGAUUGUUAAUCAAACUUCAUACUUUCUAAACGUUGUCUUUUUGCUAAGUAGAUAUAAUUGGGCUUAUAAAGGAGAUGCAUCAAGUUGAAGACACUCCUGUCAAAGGACAAUUGGCAAAAACGCGGGAACUACGAAUACAGAACACAAGGUACCAAAUUGUGAAUAUUUAGGUUAUAAAUAUGUUGACUGUCUAAAGGUUUAAUACACAAUUUCAGUUAUUUGAUAUAUUCAUUUACACACAAUUCUACUGUUGUAUGCGUUUACUGUUUUCCCUAGGAAUGAAGAGCUGCAAGCAACACUUUGGGGAGAACUUGCACUUGACUUUGAUGCAGACAAGAUACUUCAGUCACCCCCGCCAGCUGUGAUAGUCAUUACGAGUUCAAAAGUGGCCACGUAUGCAAGUAAGAACAAAUGUCUUUUUUCUCGACGAGAUCACACUAUUUAUUAUUUCGAAUUGAAUUACUUCUAUUGUCUAUUCUUAGAGAAAAUAGUGGUCAACACAAGCUUGAACAGCUGUGUCUUCAUCAAUCCAAAUAUUCCUGAGUUACAGGAAUACAAAACAAGGUACACAUUUAAAGAUGAAAAUAUGGCCAUAAUUGACAUUCGGUAUUCAUUGUGUGCUAAUAUCAAAUUCUGUACACCUCAAUAAAAUUGUAGGUUCUCAGCCCGAACUAUGCCCCAAAAUUCAUACCAAGCUCAGGCCAAAGCACAAGUUCUUCUGUCACAGAAACAUCAAACAUAAUCAAUAUCGGCAACCUCAUCUUACAAGAUGCAGAUGAAAACAAGGUAACAACUUCUAAAAGGACAUAAUUUAUUUUUAAUUUUUAUUUUAUUUUUUCCUUUUGAAGCUCUAAAAAGACAUAAUGUUGUGCACCUGUUGUUAUGUAUAUUAAAAAAAUUACAACUAAUGUCAUAUGUGACUUCAAAAUGUCUAUAUCAACAUAGGAUUCCAUGUUCACCUGUCGAGCUAAAAUUACAAAAAUCAUCACUCGCGAAGGGUGGUACUACUUUGGUUGUCCAAUCUGUAGAGUGAAGCUACAAAUGGGAUCCGACUCUGUAUUGAAUAAAUGUCCAAACCAUGGAGAGCAAGCUGGAAAGCCAAAGUAAGCAAAAGAAAUUUUUUUGAUUAACUAAAUCUAUGAUACAUUUGUCUAAAUAACUCCACUGAUACUAAAAGUGUCUAUGUUGAUUUCACGGCCUUAUUCAUCUUGAAUAUCGCAUGCGUAAAUUUUUUUAUGAUGGUGUUACUAUUACAGGUACAAGAUGCAAAUUCGUCUCGAAGAUGAAGAUGAUUCAACUUUGGCCAUGCUCAUGGGCAAACCUGCAGAGAUACUAUUUAGAAAACCCUGUAGCCAAUUGAUAGAUGAAGGAAGUACAGAGAAAACUGUCAUCCCGAAAAUCAUCCUUGAUACAAUGCACAUAUACAAAAUCUGGAAGAUUGGGUUUGGUACAAGGAAAGAUUUCAUGGUUAGAGGUGUUUACCCUGACACUGAAAAGGUUGGCCAAGAGAUAGAAGAACCAAAGACAUCGGGGAAACUUCCCUUGAAGAGAAAAUCAUGGUCACCAAAAGAAAGCACUCUGCAUCAACUUUUGGAGUCCGACAAAAAAAAAAAAAAAGGUUUCAAUCUUUACUAUAGUGUCCAUCUAUUCUUUCUUAAUGUAGAUACUGAAAUAUUUAAUGACUUUUACAUCAUAAUUGACAGGGAAGCAGGAGGCAGUAGCAAGGACACAGCAAAACCAGAUUAAGUUAGACAUGAUAGCUCCAUUGUAAUAAUCUAACUAUGUUUUGGCUACCAACUUUUGCAAGGGCGAUGGUGUGUGGAAAAUGCCCUCUUUUGUUCAAAUGAUGUUCUAGCUUGCAACUGGAGCCAAUGUGAUCUGUACAGUCAAAUAGUUUUUGGUGUGUGUGUAUAUUAACAGCUUAAUCUACAACGUUGUAAUCGUUACAGGAAAAUGGCUUUUUGAUGUGAAAUAGUUGUGAUCUGUACAGUCAAAUAGCUUCUGGUGUGUGUGUAUAUUAACAGCCAAAUCUACAGACUUUUUGAUGUGAAAUAGUUUUUGGUGUGUCUCUAUAUAUGUAUAUCAGUUACCAAAUUAAAGGUGUUGUAAUUGCCUUAACUGAUCUUUAUAUCCACUUUACUAUUAUUUGUUUUCAAGUCGAAAUGUAUGUCAAUAUCUCACUUUAUUACAAUUAAUUUUGUUUCUUAGUAUUAAUAAUCAGAACAAAAACAUUUAAAGCAGUCAAUAACUGGUACCCGCAGCAACGCGCGGGCACAUACCUUGUAUGUCACAAAGGGCCAGUACUAGGGGUGACGCAAGUGCCUCCUGUCUCAAUGCAGGUUCAGUUGGGGGCAGGAGGAGGGGUCCCCGUAGUCGCAGUUCCUAUACGGCUCUCAAUGCUGCUCCGGGUGAAUUCCAUCAACCACUUGCCUCGGCUCUUAAUGCUGCUCCAGGUGAAUUGCAUCAACCAUCUGUGGCGGUUGGUGUUUUCGAGACGCCUGCUAUGGUCAGAAUGGUACGAAGAUCACAGAAUAGAAAUCAACCUGGACCAUAUUACGUCUAAACUCCACCUCGUUUUAGCACUAGUUCUAUAUACUAUAGCAGGAAGGCAAUAUAACUGUUUAUUCAGGUAGAGAAAUGACGGUGUUACCCCCGGUUUGCAGAAAAUUACAAAACUGCCACUGCAGCAUCUAUCUCCACAGCAAUACGUGAACACAUGAAAUGUCUGUUUUGCCCCUGCUUCGUAACUAAUCACAAAAUUGCCAUUAUCUGCUCUGUCUUGACAUCUGCUGUUUUUAUAUUGCUGUGUUGGACAUCUGUGAGUCUGGAUUGCUGCCAUGUGUCUUGGUCGUUGACGUCUGGCGUCGAUGGCUUCUUCUCCACGAUCGGUUCGAGUGUAUCGAGUGUUCAUUGACCAUCUUCUUUGUCGCUCUUUGUUGUGAGAGAGAGAUGGGUUAUUCGUGAAAUGAAAAUUUGUAUGGCUCUUCUCAAUCAAAUGGUCGAGGUAAUGAUAUUUGUUCUGUAUAUGAUCGAUUCUGGGUUUCUAUUUCGUUUGCCCUGAUCGUAUUUACCAUUGUUUUGAUACCGAUGCGUUCAUUCAAUUGUUAAACAGGUGUCUGGAUUGCGAUCCAUAUUCCUUAUGAAAAAAGGUAUUGUGUUGUUGUAUCCAUGAACAAUCAACUUAUUUUAUUAUGCCUCAUUCUUGGUGCAAUUACAUGUUAUUUCUGUUCAGUUCAUGUUCAAAUUUUGCUCAAAUUUCAUUAACAGAUUAUACUCUUGGAUCCUAAUUAAAAUUGAAAUUGAGGAGUUUGUCAAUUUUUUUUUUGGCUCUAUUUAAGGGUGUUGAAAGUCUUUGAUGGUUCCAUUUGAUGGUACAUUUGCAAGAACUGCAUGUAUUAACAAUUUGUAUGUUUCAGAUCUCGACUUCGCUAUUCUGGACUCUGGAGAUGAAUCAUUUUGCAUUGGUUGAUGGAAAGCCAUAUCCUUUCGAUAUGAGAGGUGAGUUGGAUGACACUGGUGCUUUCAAGAACUUCAGUAAGUACAUUCACUUUACGUUGUUAUUACCAUGAAUCAUGAGCAUAUGAGCUAACAAAUCCUUUGAAGUUUGAACUAUAUCAGGAAAAGUUUAAGUGUUUGACAAAUCAAAUGAUGGAGCUAAUAUAUUAGAGUAUUUGCAGAAGAUUUGUUCAGUGAUAUUGGGGAAUUUUUGAUUUUGCAGGCUGGAAUUUUGUGUAAUGCGUGCAUUGGUUCAAUUUUCAGGUAUGCAUUUUAGUUGUUUAUUGGAAGAUUGAUGAUGUGUGGUGUUGAUGGAAAAAGUUAUCUGUACUUGACUUUGACUUAUUAAUAAAUCGGUUCUCUGCUAAAGAUAGUAACAAUUGUGUCAAAUUUUUACAAGAAUUUAUGACAGUACACAUUGUUCUGAUUUUUUCCAUUGAGCGUUGCCAAAAACAAUAUCCAAUUGAAUAGUAGGGAGUUCUUUGGUCAAUGAAUUGAGUACAGAAAAUUAGGGAGUUCUUUGGUCACUGUGGACUACAAAUUGGAAACAUUUGGUACUUCAGGUCUAAGAUUUCAAUAGUUUUAGAUAUAGCUUGAGGCCCAAUAUUGAAACAUUGAAAUCUUCAGUGAUCAUUAACUUACAAGGUCUGAUAGGAUUCAGUUCAAAAAGGGUCAUAUUAACAAAGGAAGUUUGGAAACUGACACCUGCAUUUCAAUAUCAAAAUGUAUGUCUAAAGUUUAGAUGAAUAUUAAAUACUUUCGAUUUUGAGUCUUAGCUGCUUGCAUUAUAAUACACGCUCAUUGCAUCCCUUUUUUGUACGUUUUGAUUUAGAUUUAUGCUGCUAUUGGAAAUGUUGGUGGAAGGGAGUUAGCUGUCAUCUUUUUAGUUCUUAUAUUUAUUUAGAACUACUCAGAAGGAUCUGUUUCAGAUGGAAGCAAUAGCUGAUAUUGUUGAUUAUUCAUGAGGGGUAAAAUACUCUUAACAUGUUUACUUAUCGUUUACUAUUUAUUUCAUUUACUGUUUGAAAAUGCUAGAUAUGUUUCUUCCACUGAAAAGUUCUCUGUGACCAGGAGACUACCAAAGGUUGCAGGAAAGUCUACAAUUGAACAUCAAGUUUGGAUAAUGAGUUUCUGAUAAUUUUGAAAUAUAUGUGAGAGCAUUAUAACUUUCAACAACAUUUAAACACUUUAAGACCAUUACUGGUUUUCAUAAAUGUGUUGUGGAGCUAUUCAAAAUAAUGAAGGACAAUAUUGAGCUUGCAGUUUUUGCAGAAGAAUUUUAAUGGGAAAUAUAUAUCAGUGUUGUCAAUGCGUAGGAAACUAUCAUUAAAGCUUUGAAUGGUGUUGAUCAUCCAUCUUUAACAAGUCUCUUCUAUUUACUUUGGCAGCAUUGAAACCCUCCAAUGCUGGUAUCAGGCCUACUUAAUUGUUUGUUCAGUUUCAACUGUUUAAGGAACAUGAGCAUAUGAGCUGACAAAUCAAUUGAUCUAUUUCAGAAAAAGUUUCUGUGUUUUGACAAAUGAAAUGAUUCAGCUAAUAUACUGUAGAGUAUUUGCAAAAGAAUUGUUCAAUGGGGAAUAUAUCAGCUUGGUUGAUGCUUUGGGAACUAAGCAUAAAGCUUUUAAUGGUGUUAAUUAUCCGUCUGUACCAAGCCCUUUAUUUACUUCGGUAACAUUGGAGGAAUAUGAUUUCAGUAUCAAGUCUAUGCAAUAGUUUGUUCAAUUUGAUUCAACUGUUUAAAGGAUGAGCUUAUGAGCUUACGGGUCCAUUGAACAGUUAGCUUAUGAGCUUUUUUAUAUAUUCACGUUUGUCCCAAUCUGAUAUUUGUGGCCAUUUGUACAUGGUUCAGAAUAAUAUUCUUCCUCGGGAAUCUUUGUAGAGUAUUCAAGGCAGCGAGAACUAAGUCACCCAUAACAAUCAAAACACAAAUUAGUAGACAAUUGAGAGGUAAUUGAGAGCUACUACUUAAUAUAACUUACUUUCUCAUUGCAGAGGAGAAGAGAGCAAAAGGGCUUCCAAGUGAGUGUUGCUUAUAUCUAUAUCUAUACAUUUGUUUACUAUUUCAGAACUUAUUUAUGUUUCGCUGGUGUGGUUCAAAUGAAACCUCUGACAAAAAUAUAUUCUUUACUUUGCAGAGGACAAGGAAGUAAAGGGACCUCAAAGUAAGUUUAGCAUUUCUAUUUCAAAACUUAUUUAUGUUGCGAUGGUGCCCUUUGAAUGGAAUGAUCUAUGAUCAUCUUCUGAUGUUUAUCAAUUGACAACGAUUAGUAGCAGUUUCAUUUACAAUCAAAUCGAAUUUCUGUCUAAAAUAUGUUUUUCAAUUUGCAGAGGAGAAGGAAGCAAAUGGACACCAAAGUAAGUGUUCAUUAUAUCCAUAUCAGUGCAUUUGUUUUCUCUAAAAAUUUAUUUAUGUUGCAGUAGUAUGUCUUGCAUUGGUUUUGUUUAUCUUUUAACAACUUUAUCAAUAUUCAAUGCUUCAAUUUAAAUGUUUAUGUACUAGACGUCAACCAAACAAAGCUAAGUCCAAGACAAAGGAGGACUAAGGUUUCUGUGCUUAUAUAUAUGCUCGCUCCCCAGCAAUAGUUUUUUUGAUGCUAAGUUGCUAACAGGUUAGACGUACAUGGUUCUAACUACAGAUCGACUAUUGUUUUGACUAGCAAUGGGAAGCGUUUUGCUGUGCAGAAUGAUAUAAUAACACAUGACUUAUUUUUUGUGCUCUCAGUUAUUUUGGUGUGUAUGACAGUGUUGUCUACAGAGAGAGCAAUGUACUGUAUAAUACUACAAUGUGAUGUUUUUGUUUGAUAAGUCAUGUGUAUUGUAGACGCUAAGUUAAUGGAUUUUUUGUAAUCUAACAUUUUCAUUUUUCACCAUAUCUCCAUGUAAUAGUGUGUGUGUGUGUGUUUACUAUGCAAUAUCUCCAUUAUAUUGCUACAUUCAUUGGCAUACCAAACAACAUAAAAAUUUAUCCAAACAAAAACAAUUCCGGUGAUUAAUAUCAGUCAUUGCAAACCGUGGCAUCGCGUGGGCAUCAUCUAGUCUGGUUAUUAUUGCCAAUGCCAGCCGGGUUAUCAAGGGAACCCUUACCUCCCCGAUGCUUGCCAAGGUGAAAUAUGUAAAUAACAAUAUACAGUACAUGUGUAUGUGUGUCUCUGUGUGCACUUUUCAUUUGAUAUGUUUGAGGGUACAUGCGUGUUUGUGUCUGUGAUUCAGUUGCUGCAGCCGGAAAUUAAAGCUCCGGUUAUGGAUUAAGUUUACAUGUUUGUUAAUAACAAUGUGUUUUCCUGGGUUUUUCAGAUAUUGAUGAGUGCAAGGUUUCAAACCCCUGCACCAAUGGACUGUGUGAAAAUUCACCUGGAAGUUACUUACGCUUGUGUGACAAAGGGUACAGAAGCAAUGGAACGAAUAAUCAAAGCUGUAUUCAAGAGAUUCCCAACGACAAAAAUCAAACAAAGACGACGCUCCUGCUUAUUGUAUCAUUGAGUAUGUACUAUUUCUAUAAUAGCACGCUGCAUGCAUCAUCUGAUCAUAUAUAGCCUAAAGUCAAACGUAAACUUUUUUUGAACAAUAAUUAACCUGAUCAGCUAUAUUAGGACCCAAAAUGAAAUUCUCGUAUCUAAUAUUUAAAAUAUGCAUCAUUUACCUUCCUCAAAAAAUAAAAAAAAAUGCAUCAUAUACAAGUGAUUUGAAAUUAAAAAAAGAAAAUGAAAGAAUAUAUAUGCAUCAUAUACAAGUGAUUUGAAGAAGCUUUCACGGUUUCACCUACAAAUGUUAUCCCCUGCUUUUACGGUACCGACUUUUAAAAGCUUAGAAAGUUUGAUUGAUCUAAAUUAUUUCACUAAUAAUUUAGAAUCAAAUAAAAAUAACUAAAGAAUUUCAUCGAACUCACUAUAUAUGUGCAGGUGUAACUGGGGCCUUCUUGGUUCUGUUUGUUGGAAUUUCAUUGAUAUGUUGCAGAAUAAAGAAAACAAAAUUCAACAAACUGAAAGAAAAGUACUAUAAAGAAAAUGGUGGCUUAUUGUUACUACAGCAACUCGCUAACAAUGGAGGCUCAGUGGAGACAACAAAAAUCUUCACCACAGAAGAACUAGAGAACGCAACAAACAAUUACCAUGAGAGUGGAGUCCUUGGAGAAGGAGGCUACGGAACAGUUUAUAAAGGAGUACUAAAUUAAAGGACAACAAAGUGGUUGCCAUAAAGAAGUCAAAAGGAGGUACCUAGUUAAAUAGGGUCGGAAAUACAUUAUAAACGUAAUACUUUAUGUUCUUAUCAUUAUCCUUUCGCAAAUCAACCACAAAAACGUGGCAAAACUAUUAGGUUGUUGUUUAGAAACAGAAGUGCCUUUACUAGUAUAUGAGUUCAUCACCCAGGGGACUCUCUUUGAGCACAUUCAUAAAAGAAGAUCACCUCUCCCUUUUGAAUUACGAAUGAAGAUAGCAACUCAAAGCGCAGAAGCACUGUCUCACUUACACUCCUCAAUUUCCACACUGAUAAUACAUCGAGAUGUGAAAACGGCAAAUACUCUGUUAGCUGAUGAUUACGCGGCGAAAGUGUCAGAUUUCGGAGCUUCCCGUUUGGUUCCUUCAGGUCCAACUGAUAUGCAAACUUUGGCAGUGCCCGGAACAUUUGGAUACCUAGACCCUGAAUAUCUGCAAUUAAACCAACUAACAGAAAAGAGUGACGUUUACAGCUUUGGAGUUAUCCUAGUGGAAAUAAUAACAAGCAAAGUGCCACUUUCUAAAGGGAAAAGCUUAGCAAGCAUCUUUAUUGUUUCCAUCAAAGAAGAUAGGUUGGAUCAAAUUCUUGACGAUGACAUAGUGAAUGAGGGAAACAUUGAGACGGUAAAGAAUGUUGUCAAUCUCGCAAAACGGUGCUUGAGGGUGAAUGGGGAGGGAAGGCCUACCAUGAAAGAAGUUGUCAAAGAGUUAGAGGAAAUGAGUGUCACGGCAAAACAUCCCUGGGAAUUUAAUGCUAGUUUUUGCGGAGAAGAGACUGAGUACUUGCUUGGAUCACUUAAUACAGAUGAUUCCGUGGUACGACCAAUGCAUCUGACAGCAUGCAAAACCAACUGCAGUUGAUGCCCUAUGGCGGUGGACGUUAGUUGAUUGGUGUCGCUUGUAAUGUUUUCUUAAUCCUGUAUGUACGUAUUUUUUAGUAUUGUUGUUUCUGUCUGAAUGUCUGAUAAGUGCGUUAGAAAUAAAAGUGUAUUUUCGCAUUUUGUAAUUGUUGUAUGCAUGUAAGGAAACAAGUGUGGUCUUAGUCUUACAGUACACUUACCGGUGUUUUUUUCCAGGUAUUGUGAUUGAUGCAACUUAGCAAGCAACCGGUUUUCCUUGAACCAUAUAUGUGGUUAAUUAAAGGCCUUUGCCUUUCACACGAGUUGGUGGUGCUUGAAAGUUGGUAUGUGAUGGUCAGCACAUCAAUGGGAAACCUUAAUUUUUGGUUCUAGCCUCACCUAAUCAUCGUUCAUCAAAGUUACAUGAACCCUAACAAUAACACGGUUGAUAUAUACCAGCUUGGUCAACUUGAAGCAUGAGUCCGAUUGUUUUCCCAACUAGCCUUUUGUGAGUGUCACCAAAAUGAUCUAUGAUUUUGGAAAAUUCUAGUAUACAAAUUUGCAUAUAUAUCAUACAAACUAAGUAUGUGGCUAUCAUUGCUUGUAAAUAUAGUAAUAUGACAAUUUUAUCCUCCUCAAAAUACUUCUUGUAUGUCCUUACAUAGAAGUGAGUGGACCACUUUUUGAGUUUGUAUACCAUACACAUCUGUAUAGUAGACAAACCCAUGAUUUUCACCCAAAUCAAAACAAAAAUCGGAAUGCAUAAUAAUAAAGAAUUAGUCAUAGUCAUUUAGGAGAAUCAUAUAUAGCUCUCUGAAAACCCCAGAGAUCAUUUUCUUGACACGAAUUACAUCUCGUUCAAUGGUGAAUGUAAAGAGGAAGCAGUCAUGUACCACGAGCUUGAACUUCUAGAAGAGAAGGGACGCGCCACAUAGAGGGCAUGGCGCUCUUGAAGGAGUCGAAGGCCACCGCUCUGAACCAAGGAGCCACUCACGAUAUUUAACCUAUUUUUUAGUACCUUGUAGGUGUAAAUAUGGAGAUUGAAACUUUUCAUGAAUGCUAACAAUUUUCUUAGAUUUAAAGAAAUAUAAUCUCGAACCUUCCUAGCUCGAAGUACCAAGUCAACAGUUAAGGAUACAUGUAUAUGCAAACUAGGUAGAUAAGUACUACACUAGUUGAAUCUGCAUGCUCACUAGUUUUCGCUUGGAAAAUUUCCACAAGUCAUGUCAUGUUCACAAUGCAAAUUAGAAAAUUUCCUCCAGUCAUGUCAUCUUCACACUGCUAAUUAGAAAAUUUCCACCAGUCAUCUUCGUAUUGCAAAAGGAAAUUCUUUAAUUCCAUUUAGAUCUACUUGUGACCUGGACGACUUCAUCUUAUCGUCUAGAAAUUGACAUAAACUAAUAAACGAAACAAGUUCCUAUUUACAACUACCACCUCAACUUGUCACCAUGAUCAUCAACCAAAACGGAACACGAAUUGUCAUAUUGACAUAGCAUAGAAUAAUUAGUUAGUAGCACAAAAUUAUCGAUGGAAAUGGUGGUUGUGCCCCGUCAGUCCGUUAAUUUAUAGUGAUGGGGUGAAAAAAUAAAUAAAUCAAAAGCCAUUCUAAACACAAGGACCAAAAAUAAUUUUUGCCACCUGAUCAGUAAACAAAUCAAGUAUAGCUAGGCAGAAGGGGUCCUGGCUUGGCAAAGGCACAUCAAGCUUUCGUUUUCUUGAAACCGAUUGAUCUCAUAACUUGUGCUUGACUAUGAGAUAACAUCUCUUCUGUAUUACCUGCUUGCAUCUAAACUAAAAUAUCAAGUUUUUGGGCUUACCAAGUAGCUUCGGGAAAUAAGAGAGACGACCAAGACAUUUUGAUUUGCUCACAACCUCUUCCUUCUAUUCGUCUACAAAAGCGAGCUUGCAAACACAACUUCACUCAGAAGAAAUACAGUUUAUACAUUUAUACCUCUCAGUUGAAGUACUGAGUUAAUUGGUGCAUGCAGGUUACUAAUUAACUAAGUAUGCAAUUCAUAUUGGUGGUGGUACUGGUUCUCCUCGCAUUUACGGCCGCAGGCAAAGAAGCAGAAGCAGCUGAAGCCCUCCCGCCUCAAGCGCUUCAUGGCUGCUCUGACAAGUGCGGUGAUCUCACAGUUCCAUAUCCAUUUGGCAUGGAGGAGGGUUGUUACCUGGGAGAUGAAUUCUUUAUUUAUUGCAACCGUUCGACCCAAUCAGCAUAUUUGAUGGGCAGCAGCAGCAGUAUCAUUGUUACUAACAUUUCCCUAGAGGUUGGGGAGAUGCAAAUAUCGAAGCGAAUAGGGCGAGAUUGUUACGAUAAAGAGGGAAACCGAAACUACAACAUAAGCACAGCAGGAAAGUUCACAUUGGUACCUCCAUACACUAUAUCUGAUGCCCAAAACAAGUUCUACGCCGUUGGUUGUGACACUAUUGCAGCCAUGGGCAGCUUCCGAGGGGAAAAAGAAGUCAUUACUGGGUGCAUUUCAGUAUGCAACAGCCUCAGCAGUGUUAAUAAGAACUCUUGCUCUGGCAUUGGGUGUUGCCAGGUUAACAUCCCCAGUGGACUGAUCGAUCUCACUUUCGAGUUGAGAAGCUUCUACAAUCAUACGAAUGUAUCUGAGUUUAACCCCUGCAGCUACGCCUUCAUUGCAGAGCAAGACCGGUUCAAUUUUAACUCUUCUAGUUUUGAACAACUGAAAGGCAUUGAACGGCUUCCAAUGGUUCUUAAUUGGGCCAUUGUGAAUGACACAGAUCCCUGCGAUGAGGCUCAGAACAGGAAGGGUUCCGCAUGCAAGGCUAAUAGCAAGUGCUUCAACCCAGCUAUCAAUGAGUCUGUAGGUUACUUGUGCCAGUGCUUGCCUGGUUAUGAAGGAAACCCGUACCACCCAGAUGGUUGCAAAGGUGAAAAAUUAUCUUUGAUUUACCUAUUCAGCUACUAUUAUAUCAAUAUAAAUUAAUUAAAGCUCUCACCAUUGGAAGUGCAAGUUUACCAAAUUUAGUGAUGUCUGAUACGCUUUUCCUUUCCUAAUUUCCCUUUCAGAUAUUGAUGAGUGCAAAGACCCAAACCUCUGCCAGAACGGACAAUGCUUGAAUGAGUGAAUCUGCCACCUCCACAAAAUUACACUUGUUCAUCAUGUCACAAAGGAUACAAACACGACGGCACCAAUGACAAGAGUUGCAUCAAAGACGAUUCCGAAAGACGCUCAAAGAUCGUUCUCCUGCUUGAAAUUUCAUUGGGUAUGUAGAAUUAGAUAUUAACAUGCAUGUGCAUCCUAUGACCACCCUAAACUUCUAUUGAACAGUAUUGACGGACUGAAAUUUAUUUAGCUUCAGCUAUACUUUCGUUCCAAAUUCUAAUUUCGCUUAACCUAGUAAUACUCAUACUUUUUCUUCUAAAAGAAGUGAUGAAAAGAGAAUGCGUACGUAAGUCAUUCCCAUUUUAUAAAGGAAAACUUUUAAUUCUUAUAAGAAAAAAAGUUUAAUUUCUCUGAUGUGUAAAAAAAAGACGACGCUCUUCCUUAUUGUAUCAUUGAGUACGUGCUAUUUCUAUAAUAGCACGCUGCAUGCAUCAUCUGAUCAAAACCUGAUCAGCUAUGUUCGGACCCAAACUGAAAUUCUCAUAUCUACUAUUUAAAAUGAAGAACUUAAAAAAGAAAAAGAAAGAAUAUCCAUCAUAUACAUGUGAUUUGAAGAAGCUUUCACGGUUUCACCUACAUAUGUUUUCCCCUGUUUUUAUGGUACUGACUUUUAAUAGCCUAGAAAGUUUGAUUAAUCUAAAAAAAUUCACUAAUUAUUUAAAAUCAAACAAAAGUAACUAAAGAAUUUCAUCAAACUCCACUAUAACAAAUCUCCCUAGAGACAAUCAGAAAUAAAAUCAAUUUUGCCUCAAUUGAUUGUUGGUAUAUAUGUGCAGGUGUAACUGGGGGCUUCUUUGUUCUGUUUGUUGGAAUUUCAUGGAUAUGUUGCAGAAUACGGAAAACAAAAUUCAAGAAACAGAAAGAAAAGUACUUUAAAGAAAAUGGUGGCUUAUUGUUACUACAACAACUCGCUAACCAUGGAGGCUCAGUGGAGACAACAAAAGUCUUCACCGAAGAAGAACUAGAGAAUGCAACAAACAAUUACCAUGAGAGUGGAGUCCUUGGAGAAGGAGGCUACGGAACAGUUCAUAAAGGAGUACUAAAGGACAACAAAGUGGUUGCCAUAAAGAAGUCAAAAGGAGGUACCUCGACCCAGAGCGAACAGUUUGUUAACGAGGUGAUUGUUCUUUCUCAAAUCAACCACAGAAAUGUGGUGAAGCUACUAGGUUGUUGUUUGGAGACAGCAGUGCCUUUACUGGUAUACGAAUUUGCACUCUAUACGAGCACAUUCAUAAAAGAAGAUCAUCACUGUCAUUUGAACAGCGAAUGAAGAUAGCUGUUGAAACAGCAGGAGCACUAGCAUACUUACACUCCUCCACAUCAAUGCCAAUCAUACAUCGAGACGUGAAAGCAGCAAAUAUACUCUUGGAUGAUAAUUAUACAGCCAAAGUGUCGGACUUCGGAGCUUCACGGUUGGUUCCUCUAGGUCAAACCGAAAUACAAACUUUGGUGCUCGGGACGUUUGGAUACCUAGACCCAGAAUAUUUGCAGUCGAACCAACUAACAGAAAAAAGUGAUGUCUACAGCUUUGGAGUUGUCCUAGUGGAGCUACUUACAAGCAAAGUGGCAGUUUCUAAUGAUAGAUGCUUAACAAGCAUCUUUAUUUCUUGCAUGGAUGAAGAUCGCUUAAAAGAAAUUCUUGACGAUGCCAUACUGAAUGAGGGAAACAUUGAGACAGCAGUAAACGUGGCCAAUCUCGCAAAAAGAUGUUUGAGGUUAAAAGGGGAGGAAAGGCCUACCAUGAAAGAAGUUGCCAUGGAGCUAGAGGGAAUGGCAAUUAUGGCAAAGCAUCCGUGGGGAAAGAAUGCUAAAUUCUGUCCGGAGGAGAAUGAGUACCUGCUUGGUUCACCUACUUCAGACAGUUAUGACAUGGAUGCUAGAGGAGGUGAUCACAAUUCUAGUGGUUUAACCAUUGGUACGACUACUGUGUAUGACAGCAUGCAAAUCCAGAUGUUGAUUCCACAUGGUAAUGGACGAUAGUUAGUUGGCGUGUUCCUUAUGACUUAUAUACCAUGCAUUGUUGUAAUCCUUGUUUCAUUUUUAUUAGUGCCUUGUUAAAUAAGUGUAUGUAAGCAUACUAUUAAUUUGAUACGUGUAAAUUAAGUGUGGUCUUAUAUGUGUGUAUAUAUAUUAUACAAUCUGUUUCAGAUACGGACGUCCGCACCGCCUUAAAGUGCGGACAUCCCUCCUUUCGCCACCGUACGGCGCCGACGAGGGCGCGCCUCCACCCCAGCGAACUCCAGCAGCAUCCCCGACCAUUUUCCCUCCCCGGCGAGUCCGCCGAAUCCCAGUUUUCCUGCCAGAUCACCAAAAACUUCAAAAAAAAGUCAAUCUGGCCCGAAAAUUGGAAUUCGGCAGACUCGCCGGGGAUGGAAAGUGGUCAGGAAAGCUGCUGGAGUCCGCUGGGAUGGAGGCGCGCCCUCGCCGGUGCCGUACGGUGGCGAAAGGAGGGACGUCCGCACUUUAAGAGCCGUGCGGAUGUCCGCACCUGAUACUAGCUCCCUAAUAUAUUAUAUGUAUUUAUAUAUGAAGUGUUGUUUUGAAUUCUUUCCCUGAAUUUUGUACUCUAUGCAAUUUAUAAAGCAAUCAGGCAUAUAACAGUAUUCAUCGAUUCUAGAAAACAUUUUAUGCUUAAUUUCAAAACAUACAUCCAAAUCAAGGCUUUAGACUAUCAUCAUGAACAGGCGUAUUCCUCUGGAUUAAUUGGCUAAACAAAUUCUAGCAAUAGUGAGGACUUACAGAUAUCAAGUAAUAGCCAGUUGAACUGGGAGCACUUACUGGAAUCAGACAAGUAAGUUGGACCGCCCCCUUCAUCUAGAAGCUUUGCCUGGGGAAAUCUCAAACAGUAUAAGUGAGCGUGCCUGCAAACUGAAAAAGCAAUCCAUGUCAAAACAACAUCUUUUUAACAAUGAAGAUGAUAUGACAACAGAAGCCAUGCAAUUUACAGAUUUUAAAGCUUCCCCGUUCAAUCUAAUGAAGAUCAUUGUCAAAUAGAGCCCAACAGUGUUACAGUACAUCAGUGCUAGUGGUAUUUUAGGGUAUUAUAUGUUCACGACUUCACAGAAUAACUGUGAAGGAAAACUACAACCACCAGAGCUUAAGCCCCAAAGCAAACAAUAACGUUACACAUUUUCAGCCUAACCGGGACAAUAAACCUUAGCUGGUAAGAUCUAGUGAAGAAUUACUUGCUCAUUUAUUAAAAGUGUCUUCCCAAAACCAAAAAUAAUAAAAAAAGAAAAAAGAAAUCAUGUUACAGGCCUAAGCCACUCAAGGAAAGCUAAAGAACAACUUGACUAAGGGAUAAUUCGCGACUACUACAUAUACAACCAAGUGCAGUGAUAAUGCAACAUCUGAAAAUGCGAAAUGAAGUUACUCAUGUACAUGUCAUGAUGGGUACACAAUCUACGAUAAGAACAAUGAUCGUUGCGGCAAAAAUCUUGAUACUUCCAUACAAAUUACAGUGGGUAUGUAUUGAUAGCAAUGUGAUUUACAAUUUUAAAUAUGAGCUUCCGCACUAGCAUGUUAUUAUUUAUUAAAGACUGUAAUUCUGUAAACACAAUAUACAUAUCUGAUAAAAUUCAUAAAGAUAAUCCGUUGUGAUUUUUCAAUUGUAUGCAGGUAUCAUUUUCAGCUUCUUGGUAAUGCUGGUUGGAAUUUCAUGGAUGUAUUGGGUAAUGAAGAAAAGGAAGUUCAUCAAAUUCAAGGAGAAGUACUUCAAAGAAAAUGGUGGCUUACUGUUACAGCAACAACUUGCUACUCAGGUAAUGGAGGCAAUAAAAGUCUAUACAACAAAAGAACUUGAGCAGGCUACAAACAAUUACCACAAAAGUCAGAGUUCUCGGUGAAGGAGGCUACGGAACAGUUUACAAAGGAUUUAUUAUCAGAUAACAAAGAGGUCGCAAUUAAAAAGUCAGUUUGUAAAUGAGGUGAUUGUCCUUUCUCAGAUAAACCAUAGAGAUGUAGUGAGGCAAUAUAUUAGGUUGUUGUUUAGAGUUCAUUAGUCAUGGUACCCUUUUUGAACACAUUCAUAAGAAAAGAUCAACUCUUUUAUUGAGUUUUAAGAUAGCAGCAGAAACUGCAGGAGCACUAGCAUACUUACAUCAUUCAACUUUCCAUGCCCGGGAUGCGAAAACAAUGAGAAUAUACUGUUAGAUGAUAAGUAUAUUAAUGAAACACUUGAAUGUAUGGCUAAUCUUGCAAAAACAUGUUUAAAGUUUUACCGUGACAGAACGCGAAUUGCAGUGAAGCAUCCAUGGGGAGGUAAAACCAAUUGUCUUCCAGAGGAGACUGGAGCCACCUAAUUCAGAAGACGCCGCUAUUGGCCGGAGUCGGUAACCCAGCCGAUGCCGUAGAAACGGACGCCCUACUUUUAUGUGAUUCACGGCUUCCAUUUUGUGCAUUCAGAUAU